UUUUUACUGAAGGUUGUCAAAGAUAAACUGAGGCAUUUAAAACUUUUUGUUAAAGUUUAUUUGGGCAACAAACCAUUAUCAAACUGGCAGUGCCAAACUGUAAGUAUUAAGGAGCUCCACUGAGGAGUGGAAAGCAGAAGUUUAUAUGGGAAAAGUGCAGACGCAAGUAAGGAAAUGUUCUGAUUGGCUGACAUUGUUUCUGUUUUCGUAGGAGGAUCUUAAAGUGAGAAGCGGAUAUCGGUGGUGUGGUAUGCUUGUCUGUUCUGAUAAGUAGUCUCUAUUGGAUCUAAACUGGUAUAUCACCAGGUAGAGUAUGUCUUUCUGCUCAGUAUGCAUGUCUUGUGAAGAACAGAAGGUAUACAUUCAAGAUAUUUAAUGUUCCUGGCACCAUUUCUAUAUGCCAAACAACAAAUAGUCAGUUGCAGUGGAAUUUUUGAACAUAUUGAAUUGGGGAAAACUAUCCAAAUCCUAUAAACAAUAUAAGCACAAAACUUGGGGAUGUUGAACACUUCAAAUAUGGUGAGAAACUAACUGAAUUACAUUGUUUUAUGACAAAAAUAAAACUUAAAAUAAUCGAUUAUAUAU